UCCUGAGUGCAGGAAAUAGCUCAUGUUAAAUACGUUCACUUUUCAGUUUUCCUUUCUUCUAAAAUGGAGCUUGACAGAUUGGGCUUUUCAGCUCCCCCUUUUUUUCACCACCUCUGCUUUCUACCUCAGAAAUACUCUUCAGGAAGCAGGAGUUAAUCUUGGUGAGGAAACGAUAAGGUGAUACUUGAUUUUUCAGGGGAAAGCAGAAGGAUAUGACUGCUUAGUAACUGCACAGAAACGUACAGGCCUCUCUUUUUAAGGCUUCCCUUUGCUUUUCCUUUCACAUCCCUUAAAGUUGAGAACUGCAGCAGACUGAAGGCCUGGUUGGUGGGAUGCAAGAAUAGUUUAAAUAGCAUCUAGAAUAGGAAGGAAGUGUUAGGAAGGUACAAUGAUAAAACAGCUUCCCUGUACUUUUCUAUCAGCUAGUAGGAUCAGGUGAAUUGGGUCGUUAGUUUCCCUACUUUGAUGCAUCCUGGCUGGCACAGAAAUGUGUCUUUUGAAGUUGUUUCAUACUCAGCCAAGUUUUUCACAUGAUUCCAAAUACUGGAUAACAAAGAGAGAGAGCAUGAACAUUGUCUUUAUUAAAUGAUGUCAAGCCAGCAUCCUGUAUAUGGAGACAAUGUAAAAGUUUUUGUCUGUUUUUGGCAUUAGGAUUAAAACUGCUCUAAAAUGCUUACAUUAAAAGGCCUUGAAUAGGACAGAAUUUGGGAGCUUAUUCUUUAAUAAGUGUAUGUGUUGCUCAUGAAGGAUAACAAUUGAGGCCCUCACCAGUGUACUAUAAUCAUGCCAUGGAGAGAUCACCUCUAGUGGUGAGGGGGGUUCACUUAUUCUCAGUGCCCAUUUAGUCCUUGGUCUUUUUGCUAAGACUGACAGCAAGAAUGUUAGUUAGGAGCAAUUAUGAUAGGAUUUUCUAUUGACCCCUGUCCACUGGGAGCUGGACUGAGACCACCAAAUUUAUUUAACUGAGCAUGGUGUUGGACUACUAAGAAAAGUGAAACUAUUGCUUUAAAGAAGGACAAAAGAAGGAGAAAUAUCCCUCAAAUGAUGGAGAGGAAAUGGAUGAAAUACGUGACGGAAGUGGAGAAAGAAUGUAGAGUACGGAAGCAUAGCACUCAGUAAGCCUGCAGAAGAGGUAAGCAGAACCAUCAAAUAUAGUUUGUAGGAGUUCUCCUGCUAUUUAAUGAUUUUGAAGUUUUUUAGGCCUGCAGGUCAACAUCCCAAGAAGAUGUCGGUGCAACUAAGAAGGAAGAUCAAGAACCUGGAAGAUAGGGAGAGACAGGUUCUCUGGAAGGGAAAGCUGGAAAUGAAGCAGGUUAAGAGCUUCACCUGUCACAGAAAAAUUACACUUGCAAUAAAGCAGAUGUCAAAAGGACAGUAUUAGCUUGGAAGACUUCAAAACAGGUGUUUGGAAGAAGGAGGGAAUCUCAUUCAUAACCUAAACUGAAAAUAUUCAACAUAAACAGCAACUUACUUGCAUCAAGACUAUAUCAAGGCUUGACAAGUUCACCUGUCUGGUGCCUCAUGCAGCUGAUUUAUCUGCCUGGACAGGUGGAAAACUGCCUAGACUUAUCCGUGAGUAAAGUGGAGUUGUUAGUGCAGUGCCAUUGAGCAAGUGCUUUUUCUCACUGCAACAGUUGGAGUAAGCAUGUUACAGUGCUACAAAUUAGCAGACCGCUUUAAAACAGUUCCCAAGCAUUGAAAUUAGAAGUGCUUAAUGCAGAAUUCAUAUUUUCUAGCUCAGGCACAACGGGACUCUGGUGAAUUUAAUUUUUAUUGCUUUCAUGUUUUAAGUCAUUUGUCUUUUGGAGGCAAUCAUGGGAGCUGCAUUACAGCAGGACAUAUGAAGAUUCUUGUUUGCAUCGUGUAAUCCUGAUUAUAUUAAUUCUUUACUACAAGCAAAUGCCACCUGGAAAAUAAAAUUCUGUUCUUCCACUCGUACUCAUGUUGCACAA